GUGCAGAUUUGCUGCCAAUUCUGACAGUCACAUGCAACACAAUUUUAUGCCUUGGGUUCAUCCUCUGUACAGCCAGCCAUGACACUAAACUGUGGGAAAAGCAGCUCAUACUUGAUUAUCUGUUAUUCACUUUACCUCUUUCUCUAGACACUACUUAGCAUCACUUCAUCCCAGACUUAGUUUGUCUGAGCUUGGUUUUUUUUGACUACUGCUACAACGCAAAAGGCAAGUACCUGCUGUUCCUCUGGGCUGUCUAACAGAAGGAUAAAGUACAAAAGAUGAAAAUGUAAUGAUGGUGAGUAGCUUGUGGGAAUGACACCAUUCACUGGUACUCUAGGUAUCAAAGUACUCACUAACGAGCAAUUUACAAAAGACACUGUUGAGUCAUUUUGAAGGAAAUCACUGAGUGCUGUGAGCAGGAGAGUGCAGACAGCUUCAUGCAAGCGUGAGCUAUUGCCCAGGAGCUGCCGAUUGCAGUUGUGAGCUAUGCAAGAACUGCAGGCAGCUCUUUCCACUUCCACACUCUCCUCUGUGGAUGUCUGGGAGCAGAUGUUCGUUCACCCUCUGCAGAAUCCUACCAGUUGCCCACAUCAUGUGGGCAGAGCUAAGGCCACACAAAGGUCUAAACAAACUGGCAUCCCUGUCUUCUACAUCCAGGAAAUGGUGAGGCAUCUUUCCUUGUACCAGCUGAAUAUCUCUAAUAGGCAUGUGGAUCUAGCAUUUUAUUUUCCUUAUCUUCUUUCUUCCCAAAUAUUAGAGUGGUAAUGGACAAAAUCUGCUCUGACAGUUUUACAUUGUCAAUUUGUCAUUGAAAACCUUGACUAAAUGGUUCCUUUCAAGUGCAGAAAAGAUGCUCUUUAAAGCAUAGCAAUAAGAUUCAGGCAAACUCUGUUCAAUUGCUACUUCUUUGAAACCCAAAUUUCACAUAGAGUGGAGCUGGAAGUUCUGUGUGCUUUGUAAAGAUCUUAGAAAUCUGUGUACCAAACACUACAGGAAAAGGCAGAUAUUAAUACAGAAAGAUGGGCCAGAUUUCUCUUUGCUUGAAUGAUGUAAAUAAGCUGUUCUGGGUGAGUGUGAAGGGAGUUGUCCUGUGUCAAACUUCAGAGACAGUGAUAUGAAUCACUGAAAUGCUGUUUUGCAAAGGUCCUAGGCACUUCUAUGAAGUUGUACUUCACUGGGGUUUUCUCUUGACUUGUUUUGGCAUGUUUACUUAUUCUUAUUAUCUGAUAUGGCUAUUCUUAUUAUCUGUUAUGGCAAGUUUAAUCUAAAUACUAACAGAAAUUUGAAGAUGUUAAUUAAAAAGGAAGAUACACCAAAGCACAAGUGCUCAUUUGUGCACACACCCACAUAUUUGUAAAUAAUGCCACAUGUGCUGGUGGUCAUUUUGUCUUUGGUGGGACACAUCAUCACAGCUCAACCUGCAGGUUCACAUUAUAGCCAGCAAGUGAAAAGUAGGACGAUGGUCUUCCAAAGACCAUCCUCAUCAACUUCACUGAACUCCCAGAUAGACUUUUACAUGCACACCCUUAUAGCACCUUCCAGUACCUAAAGGAGCCUACAGGAAAGCUGGAGACAGGCCUUUUACAAGAGUAUGUAGUGAUAAGACAAGGGCAAAUGGCUUCAUACUAAAAGAUGACAGGUUUAGAUUAGAUAUUAGGGAGAAAUUCUUUACUAUGAGGAUGGUGAGACACUGGAACAGGUUGCCCAGAGAAACGGUCGCAGUCUCAUCCCUGGAAUUGUUCAUGACCGGGUUGGAUGGGCCUUUGAGCAACCUGGUCUAGUGCAAGGUGUCUGUGCCCAUGGCAGGGGGCUUGGAACUAGAUGAUCUUUAAGUUCCCUUCCAACCCAAACCAUCCUAUGAUUCUGUGAUCAAACCUUGAGCAAAGAUACAGCUAGGCAGUGAAUUAAAAACUAGCCAGGUAUGAGUCCAGAAAGUGCAAGUGCAAGUGGUCAUACAAAAGUCCAAAUGCUAGACUAUAAGGAAGGUUGUAACUAGUGGUUCAAAGAGAACCAGUAGGAAAUCUGGGGUCACUGUGUGGCUCUGACACAGACUUCCUUUAUGUCCUUGCCUCAUUCACUUAAUUUAGCAAUUCUCCAGCUAAGGCAAGGAGACAAUACUACCUCCUUAAUGGUCUUAUGAAGGUCUCUUGAGACUGUGGAGAGAGAGAACUUGACUCCCUCUGUGUUUAUAUACUCCUGAGCAAAAGGGAGUCCAGGUUAUAAAUGCCUGGGUCUGCUGCUGCUCCCCAAAGUAAUUGUAUCAAAUAUAUGGACCAACAGUAAAACUUCACAAUGUUUUCCCAUUUGGGGUUAAAGGAUGUAUUUCAUUCGACAACCUGGAAUGUAAAGUAUGGGUAUAGUUUUGAGCUCUCGUUUCUUGUUUUGGUUUGUUUUGUUUGGGUUUUUUUCUAUUUUCGGUCAAUGAAGUAAAAUUCAAAGUGCUUACCCCCUUCUUGUUUUAAAUCAAGACGGUAUCCCUUUAAGAAACAAUGAACAGAUCAUUCAAAUUUUCUUCUGCAUCAUUUUUGUGUCUUUCUUCCUCUAACCAAAUGGUUGCAGUUCAGUCACACACCUGGCAGAAGUUCUUUAGCCCUGUCAGCUGCAAUUUUCCAGAGAAACCUCUUUGCUGAAUAAUUCCUCAUGAGGCUGGAAGAGAGGACAGGUUUGUGUAGCUGUCUGCAUUGGAGGGUAAUAUUGCCCUCUUCCUGUGAUCGUCUGUUGACUUUUGGAGUGUGGGACACUGAAUAACCCAGCAGAGAGAUAUCACCUGUGAGCAAGGAGGUAAGAGCAAGUACUGUUGGUGAGAUGAUGUUAUUCUCUGGACAAUUCUUCUGCCUUUCUAGGCGGGACAGUGUGGCCUCUUUAACCCCAUCACUGGAUCAGUGCUCUGAAAUUACACUAGUGUAAUCAUCCCACCUGAAUUAAGCAAGUAACUCCUGGCUUCUGACUCCACAAUCCAGCCUUGGGCAUCCCCUCUUAGCCUGAUGCCUCUUCCCCUCUUAGCCAUCCCCCUCUUCCUCCCUCUCCCUUGAAGCCCCCUGCUUGUGGGCUCCUUGAUAUUUUCCAGUCCUUCCCUAAUGAGCACUGCAGAAUUACAGCUAAUUAAGGAUGUAAAUGAUGCUGGAGAGGGAGAGAGAGGGAGAGGAUGGGAAAGGGCGGGGGGGAGGGCAGCUACUUGCUGUGUGCAACUCUGCAGUAAAGUGUCUCCUACCUCAGCAGAAAAGUUAUCACGGGAGACAAUGUCAACUUUAUGGAGGUGGGGAGGGCCCUUUGCGUGGCUUCAUCCCUGCCUGCAAUAACUGCUGCCUCUCUUUCAUGUGUCAGCACUGCAGAUGCUGAAGUCCUCCCUCCCAAAUGCUGCUUUGUCAGCUGGUGCUGUCAUCGAGCCCUGGUCUCCUUCUCUGGAACUUGCCACCACCCUCAUUCAUGUGUCACCUGGGGGUGAAGGGCUCAGAAGACCUCAAAAUCUUCCUGUUCUCUGGCCAGUGCCUCGGAGAUGAUGAUGUAGUCCCUAUGUGGGCCGCAGAAAGCACUUCGAGCCGUGCUGGAGUCGUGCUGGGUGGCUCUGAUAGCAGAGCUAAUGGGAGCGAAUGGGAUGCAACGAACUGUUCUAAUGACACCAGCCAGGGAAGAGACAACACUCUUAGGUCUCAUUCAUACAUAUGACCCACUCUACAUCAAAUGUGACUGCUGUCUUCCUUUCAUCUGCCCCAAAAUGAAGGAGAAACUUUGGUACCUUCCCAGUGAAACUUCCAGUCCCCUGUCACUGCCAGGAAAAGGGUAAAUUGGAAUAUCUUCUCUCCCUGCAUCACUCACAGCACACCUCUUUUCUUAGCUAAGCAAGAGGCUUUUCCCUGGUGCCAGUGGAGUCACACUGCAGAAGAGUCACUGCUCUGUGGGGUGAGUGUCAAUCCUGUGCCAGUCCUGUGGGGUGAGUGUCUGUCCUGUCUUCUCCUCCUUACAGGUGGGAAAACAGAGGCAUGGAGCAAGUAGGACACCUUUUUGCUCCUGUAUACCCUGGCCAAGCGUAGUCAGCAGUGGGAGAGCUGGGAGCCUGGUCAGAAGCAGGACUGUCCAUAAUUUAAUUUCUUGUUCAUCUCUCAUUUAAAAGUUUAUUUUAAUGAAAAAGAUCUUCCUGAGAAGCUCCCCUCCAGAUGACUGGUAGAUGUCACAGCACCGUGUCACCC